UACGGAGGGUGCGAGCGUUAAUCGGAAUUACUGGGCGUAAAGCGCACCCAGGCGGUUUGUUAAGUCAGAUGUGGAAACCCCGGGCUCAACCUGGGAACUGCAUUUGAAACUGGCAAGCUAGAGUCUCGUAGAGGGGGGUAGAAUUCCAGGUGUAGCGGUGAAAUGCGUAGAGAUCUGGAGGAAUACCGGUGGCGAAGGCGGCCCCCUGGGCGAAGACUGACGCUCAGGUGCGAAAGCGUGGGGAGCAAACAGG
rnacentral:rRNA from 1 species